UUUGUUGGGCUAUACCUCGUUUGCGGUGAAAUUAAAUAGGUUUUUGUAUAUGCUAGCGUGGAACACUAGGACUUGGUUUUAGGAUUUGGCCGUAGUGCAACAUUUGUACUGUGGAAUAACUAGAACAAUAGGUCUCACGCACAAGGUAUAUGUGACCAACACCACUGUCAAAAUGAACGUAGAUAAAUCGGAACUUCCAUGGAUAAAUAUGGAAGUGACUUCCUCAUAUCGUUACUCAUUUCUCAGCUAUUUAGCAAAAAUUUCUUAGUUAUAUAAAAAUAUAAAUCAAUACAACAUAAAACAAAUGAAAAUCUCGACUUUUUUUUCGAUACAGCAUUUUCAUAAUCACCGAUACAUAUAAUAAAUGAAUCUGUUUCCUUUAUUAUAAAAUUUUUGGUACCAUUUUAAUAACGACAAAAUAUUAUAAAUGCAUCACAAAGUAAUUUUUCUUUUUAAUGAAAUAUUAUAUAAUAUGAUUACGAGAAUACGUUAUGUUAAAACAUAUAUAACUUUAGUCUAGUAAAUGCAACAAUUGUACGAUUUUCAAUAAGAUAAUUAUAAUACAUGAAUUAUGAUAUCAAUACAUUUUUAAAUUGUAAGUUUGAAAAAUAUCAAAUAGGAAAAUUUUUUGUAACAAAUUGUAACACAUCAUACAUUGAGUUGUCUGCUUUAUUUUUUCAUUGUACAUCGAUAGUACUUAUACUAAUUAAAUUAGUAUAAUCUUUGAGGUGGUCCCAUAGAAGAUUUAAUGUGAAGAGAACGUACAUUUUGCCAGUGUUUUUU